AAUCAUUAUAUAUACAGGGUAUUUUCUAAUCAUUUUUAAAAUUCUUUAUUAUAUACUCUAUGUUAUAAUGUAUGGUAUACUUUUUACGAUUUCUGUGUUUUCAAUGAAAAGUAAUUUUAUUUUUUUAAUUGGACAAUGAGACAAUAUUCGUAACACUUUUUUGGCUUGGUGUAAGCCGUUUUGUCUUUUUUAAGUUCUUGUUUUAUCUAGUCAAUAAUAAAAAUGUUUAAUCUAG
rnacentral:sRNA from 1 species